AGAGUUUGAUCCUGGCUCAGAACGAACGCUGGCGGCAGGCCUAACACAUGCAAGUCGAGCGCUACCUUCGGGUGGAGCGGCGGACGGGUUAGUAACGCGUGGGAAUAUACCCUUCACUAUGGAAUAGCCUCGGGAAACUGAGAGUAAUACCAUAUACGCCCUUCGGGGGAAAGAUUUAUCGGUGAAGGAUUAGCCCGCGUAAGAUUAGAUAGUUGGUGGGGUAAUGGCCUACCAAGUCUACGAUCUUUAGCUGGUUUUAGAGGAUGAUCAGCAACACUGGGACUGAGACACGGCCCAGACUCCUACGGGAGGCAGCAGUGGGGAAUCUUAGACAAUGGGCGAAAGCCUGAUCUAGCCAUGCCGCGUGAGUGAUGAAGGUCUUAGGAUCGUAAAGCUCUUUCGCUAGGGAUGAUAAUGACAGUACCUAGUAAAGAAGCCCCGGCUAACUCCGUGCCAGCAGCCGCGGUAAUACGGAGGGGGCUAGCGUUGUUCGGAAUUACUGGGCGUAAAGCGUACGUAGGCGGAUCAGAAAGUAUGGGGUGAAAUCCCAGGGCUUAACCCUGGAACUGCCUCAUAAACUCCUGGUCUUGAGUUCGAGAGAGGUGAGUGGAAUUCCAAGUGUAGAGGUGAAAUUCGUAGAUAUUUGGAGGAACACCAGUGGCGAAGGCGGCUCACUGGCUCGAUACUGACGCUGAGGUACGAAAGUGUGGGGAGCAAACAGGAUUAGAUACCCUGGUAGUCCACACCGUAAACG
rnacentral:rRNA from 1 species